UACAGAGGUCCCAAGCGUUGUUCGGAUUUACUGGGCGUAAAGGGUGCGUAGGCGGCGAGGUAAGUUCGAUGUGAAAUCUCCGAGCUCAACUCGGAAAUGGCAUUGAAUACUAUCCCGCUUGAGGGUCGGAGGGGAGACUGGAAUUCUCGGUGUAGCAGUGAAAUGCGUAGAUAUCGAGAGGAACACCAGUGGCGAAGGCGAGUCUCUGGACGGCUCCUGACACUGAGGCACGAAAGCUGGGGGAGCAAACAGG
rnacentral:rRNA from 1 species